GCCAUAGUUCAGUGGUAGAGCAUCUGCCUUGCAUGCAGAAGGCCUCUGGUUCAGUCUGUGGCAUUUCCAGGUAGGAGAA